UAGGUGGUUUGUCGCGUCGUCUGUGAAAUUCCGGGGCUCAACUCCGGAUGGGCAGGCGAUACGGGCAUAACUUGAGUGCUGUAGGGGAGACUGGAAUUCCUGGUGUAGCGGUGAAAUGCGCAGAUAUCAGGAGGAACACCGAUGGCGAAGGCAGGUCUCUGGGCAGUUACUGACGCUGAGGAGCGAAAGCAUGGGUAGCGAACAGGAUUAGAUACCCUGGUAGUCCACGCCGUAAACGGUGGGCGCUAGGUGUAGGGGGGCUUCCACGUCUUCUGUGCCGUAGCUAACGCAUUAAGCGCCCCGCCUGGGGAGUACGGCCGCAAGGCUAAAACUCAAAGGAAUUGACGGGGGCCCGCACAAGCGGCGGAGCAUGUGGAUUAAUUCGAUGCAACGCGAAGAACCUUACCUGGGCUUGACAUACACCGGACCGGGCCAGAGAUGGUCUUUCCCUUUGUGGUCGGUGUACAGGUGGUGCAUGGUUGUCGUCAGCUCGUGUCGUGAGAUGUUGGGUUAAGUCCCGCAACGAGCGCAACCCUUGUCUUAUGUUGCCAGCACGUGAUGGUGGGGACUCAUGAGAGACUGCCGGGGUUAACUCGGAGGAAGGUGGGGAUGACGUCAAAUCAUCAUGCCCCUUAUGUCCAGGGCUUCACACAUGCUACAAUGGUCGGUACAACAGGUUGCGAUGCAGUGAUGUUCAGCUAAUCCUUAAAGCCGGCCUUAGUUCGGAUUGGGGUCUGCAGCUCGACCCCAUGAAGUCGGAGUCGCUAGUAAU
rnacentral:rRNA from 1 species